UAGGUCAUAUGGAUAGAACAUGUUUUUCCUC
rnacentral:piRNA from 1 species